rnacentral:rRNA from 1 species
CUACGGAGGGUGCGAGCGUUAAGCGGAAUUACUGGGCGUAAAGGGUGCGUAGGCGGCUUGAUAAGUCGGAUGUGAAAGCCCCGGGCUUAACCUGGGAAUUGCAUUCGAUACUGUCAGGCUAGAGUAUGUCAGAGGUUGGCGGAAUUCCUGGUGUAGCGGUGAAAUGCGUAGAUAUCAGGAGGAACACCAGUGGCGAAGGCGGCUAACUGAGACAAUACUGACGCUGAGGCACGAAAGCGUGGGGAGCAAACAGGAUUAGAAACCCUAGUAGUCC